GCCUGGGAGGCUCAGUUGGUUGAGCGUCCGACUUCGGCUCAGGUCAUGAUCUCACAGUCCGUGGGUUCGAGCCCCGCGUCGGGCU
rnacentral:tRNA from 1 species